AACGAACGCUGGCGGCAUGCCUAACACAUGCAAGUCGAACGAACCCUUCGGGGUUAGUGGCGCACGGGUGCGUAACGCGUGGGAAUCUGCCCUUUGCUUCGGAAUAACUCAGGGAAACUUGUGCUAAUACCGGAUGAUGUCUUCGGACCAAAGAUUUAUCGGCAAGGGAUGAGCCCGCGUAGGAUUAGGUAGUUGGUAGGGUAAAGGCCUACCAAGCCGACGAUCCUUAGCUGGUCUGAGAGGAUGAUCAGCCACACUGGGACUGAGACACGGCCCAGACUCCUACGGGAGGGAGCAGUGGGGAAUAUUGGACAAUGGGCGCAAGCCUGAUGCAGCAAUGCCGCGUGAGUGAUGAAGGCCCUCGGGUCGUAAAGCUCUUUUACCAGGGAUGAUAAUGACAGUACCUGGAGAAUAAGCUCCGGCUAACUACGUG
rnacentral:rRNA from 1 species